rnacentral:rRNA from 1 species
CACGGGGGUUGCGAGCGUUGUCCGGAAUUACUAGGCGUAAAGGGCAGGCAGGCGGAUCCAUAAGUUUAUCGUUUAAGGCGUCGGCUUAACCGGCGUAGGGCGGUAGAUACUGUGGAUCUGGAAUGCGGUUGGGGAAGACAGAAUUCCUGGUGUAGCGGUGGAAUGCGCAGAGAUCAGGAGGAAUACCGAAGGCGAAGGCAGUCUUCCAAGCCGUUAUUGACGCUCAACUACGAAGGUGUGGGUAUCAAACAGGAUUAGAUACCCCUGUAGUCCCUGAG